CCUACGGGUGGCAGCAGUGAGGAAUAUUGGUCAAUGGGCGCAAGCCUGAACCAGCCAAGUAGCGUGAAGGAUGACUGCCCUACGGGUUGUAAACUUCUUUUAUAAAGGAAUAAAGUGAGGCACGUGUGCUUUUUUGUAUGUACCUUAUGAAUAAGGAUCGGCUAAUUCCGUGCCAGCAGCCGCGGUAAUACGGAGGGUCCGAGCGUUAUCCGGAUUUAUUGGGUUUAAAGGGAGCGUAGAAGGGGUGUUAAGUCAGGUGUGAAAGGUCGCGGCUCAACCAUAGAAUUGCCACUGAGACUGGCAGCCUUGAGUGCAGGUGAGGUAGGCGGAAUUCGUGGUGUAGCGGUGAAAUGCUUAGAUAUCACGAAGAACUCCGAUUGCGAAGGCAGCCUACUAAACUGCCACUGACGCUGAGGCUCGAAAGUGUGGGUAUCAAACAGGAUUAGAUACCCUUGUAGUC
rnacentral:rRNA from 1 species